rnacentral:rRNA from 1 species
ACGCCCUACGGGACGCAGCAGUGGGGAAUAUUGGGCAAUGGGGGAAACCCUGACCCAGCAACGCCGCGUGAGGGAAGAAGGUUUUCGGAUCGUAAACCUCUGUCCUUGGUGAAGAGAAGAAGACGGUAGCCAAGGAGGAAGCCCCGGCUAACUACGUGCCAGCAGCCGCGGUAAUACGUAGGGGGCAAGCGUUAUCCGGAUUUACUGGGUGUAAAGGGAGCGUAGACGGCCAG